rnacentral:tRNA from 1 species
GAUUAUAUAGUUUAAUUAAAACAUUAAUUUUGUAAAUUAAAAAUAAAUUAAUAUAUUUUAUAUUCA